rnacentral:rRNA from 1 species
AUUGAACGCUGGCGGCAUGCCUUACACAUGCAAGUCGAACGGCAGCGGGGGAGAAGCUUGCUUUUCCUGCCGGCGAGUGGCGAACGGGUGAGUAAUACAUCGGAACGUGCCCUGUAGUGGGGGAUAACUAGUCGAAAGAUUAGCUAAUACCGCAUACGACCUGAGGGUGAAAGUGGGGGACCGCAAGGCCUCAUGCUAUAGGAGCGGCCGAUGUCUGAUUAGCUAGUUGGUGGGGUAAAGGCCGACCAAGGCGACGAGCAGUCGCUGGGCUGAGAGGCCUGUCAACCACACUGGGACUGAGACACGGCCCAGACUCCUACAGGAGGCAGCAGUGGGGAAUUUUGGACAGUGGGCGAAAGCCUGAUCCAGCAAUGCCGCGUGUGUGAAGAAGGCCUUCGGGUUGUAAAGCACUUUUGUCCGGAAAGAAAUGGCUCUGGUUAAUACCUGGGGCCGAUGACGGUACCGGAAGAAUAAGGACCGGCUAACUACGUGCCAGCCGCCGCCGUAAAAC